AUCUCCUACGGGACGCAGCAGUGGGGAAUAUUGCACAAUGGGGGGAACCCUGAUGCAGCGACGCCGCGUGGGUGAAGGAGUAUUUCGGUAUGUAAAGCCCUAUCAGCAGGGAAGAACAAUGACGGUACCUGACUAAGAAGCACCGGCUAAAUACGUGCCAGCAGCCGCGGUAAUACGUAUGGUGCAAGCGUUAUCCGGAUUUAUUGGGUGUAAAGGGCGUGUAGGCGGGAGCGCAAGUCAGAUGUGAAAACUCAGGGCUCAACCCUGAGCCUGCAUUUGAAACUGUGUUUCUUGAGGGCUG
rnacentral:rRNA from 1 species